UACGGAGGGGACUAGCGUUGUUCGGAAUUACUGGGCGUAAAGCGCACGUAGGCGGAUUUGUAAGUCAGGGGUGAAAUCCCAGGGCUCAACCCUGGAACUGCCCUUGAUACUGGAAGUCUCGAGUCCGGGAGAGGUGAGUGGAACUCCGAGUGUAGAGGUGAAAAUUCGUAGAUAUUCGGAAGAACACCAGUGGCGAAGGCGGCUCACUGGCCCGGUACUGACGCUGAGGUGCGAAAGCGUGGGGAGCAAACAGG
rnacentral:rRNA from 1 species